UCGAGACUCUGCUUUUGGCCAUGCUUUGCUGCCAUUUGGCAAGGCGACCCUGGCCUUGUGUGCUUAGAGUCAUCUGACCGACGAUGGCCGGAAGCUGACUAUGACAGAGGCUUGAGAUAUUGCAGAUCGGGUUGGGGAAGGUCAAAAUAAUUAGUCAUUGGAGAUGAUAUGAGGAAAGGAAGGAGGCGGAGGUUGGGGGAGUGGGUGCAACAGAAACAGUUCUAGUGUUGGAGCCGAGGAAGCCAACUCUGAAACAUUUGGACCUUUGUUGUCUGACAUUGCUUUUGCCACUCCUUCUUCUUUCCUCCCACCUUUACCUUCCCCACCACCUCCUCCAAACUCCCCUGCCCUCUAUCUCUGGCCCCACUGAUGACCCCUCCAUGUGAGUCGUAGGCUUUUACUACCCAUGAUUUCUUUUCUCCAAGCAAAAGAAAGAAGAGUUUAUUUCAUUCUCAGCAGCAUCCCUGGCCAGCCUCGUCAAAGGCUGUCAAAUAAACACAUUGCUAGGAGGAUCACCUCAACCUGUAGGAACUUCCUUCCUGCCAAGAAGCUGGUUCAUUCAUCACCAAGCAUCAUCAUCAUGGAAUUCUCACCCUGCUGGAGGUUCGAGCCAAGACAUAGAAAGAGGACAUUACCUGGGGCAGGAAUCAAUUGCCUAUCACUGGGGAUGCCUGCAGAUCAUUGUCCAGAGUGGCUGCUGUUCACUGAGUGUUUCCUCUGUGCCGGGCACCUUGCACACCUUAUUUUCAGUCUCCGCAGCUGCCUUGUUGAGGUUGGCUCUCUAUGCUUCUGUUUCACAGUUGGGGAAACUGAGGUUCAGAGAUGUGAAUUAAUUUUCUCAAAGUAACAUUAGGUAUUGGUAAGAUUUCAUUUAUCCAUUCACUAUUAAAUAUUAUUAAGUAAUUACAGUGCUUUAAGAACUCCAUGUAAAUGGUGGAUUUGAGGCCAAACUUUAAAAGCUGAAUUACAUAAGGAGUUAACAUUGCAAAAAGCUUAGAAAUUUAUGUUCCAGGUGGAGCGAACAGAGGUUGUGUCUUUUCGGUUACAAGUAAUAAAAUCCAGAGGCUAUCUCAAGGGAAAAAUAAAGCACUAGAUGGUCUACCAAAGAUAGAGGGGCAGGUGGAUUUUGGGAAGGGGCAAGAGUGAACAGCUAGAAAAAUGUGGCUUACGUUUUCUGUCUUAUCUGCCCCUUAGCUUCAUAACUUUCUUUUUCUCAUGUGUAGAGUGAUCAAAGAUGACCACCACCAAACUUUCAUAUUAAAGAUUAAAACACAAAAAUAGGCCAGACAGAGUGGCUCAUGCCUGUAAUCCCAGCAUCUUGAGAGGGUGAGGCAGAAGGAUCGCUUGAGCCCAGGAGUUUAGGUUCAGCCUGGGCAACAUAGCAAGAUCCUGUCACUAUAAAUAGUAACAAGAUUAGGUGGACAUUAUGGUUCAUACCUGUGGUCCCAGCUCUUCAGGGGGCUGAGGCAGGAAGAUCCCUUGAGCUCAGAAGUUUGAGGCUGCUAUGAGCUAUGAUUACGUCGCUGCACUCCAGCUUGUGUGACAGAGCAAGACCCUGUCUACAAAAAAAAAAAAAAAAAGAACAUCUAAAUAGAUAAAUAGAGCAACUCUCCCUCUCAGAAUCCUGGGCACAAAAUUUCUAUUGGCUUAGCUUCUGUCAAGUGUUUAAUCCUAGUCACAUAUCAGAGGCUGCGGGUGGAUGGGGUCAUAUGAUAUAAUACGGCCUCAGGGGGAUUGAUCACUGUGGGUGAAGAACUCAGUUAAGGUGGCAUUAGAAGGUGGACAGAUAGCUUGAAAGAUGCUGCCUCACCCAGUUACAGAGCUAAAAACCAGACCUAAAUGUGUCUAAGUCAAAACACUACAGUUGACAACCAACUUCAUAUCUUCUGUCAUUUCAGAGUAGCACGACACUGGUCAAGAAAGGCCCACAUGUUGGUAAUUUGUGCCUCCCAUAUGGUCAAUGCUACAUUGCAAGGAAGCAUGCUGAGCACGACAGUAUGCUCUACACCUGUGUGGCUACCAUGUUUUGGUUGCCUCCAUAUAAUGGGGUGGUUAAGAGUCCGGGUUCUGGGGCUGGAACACUGGAAUUUGAGCCCCAGCUCUGCCACUGUGUGCCCUUGAGAAAGCUAACUGCCCUCAUUACAUGUGUUGGUCUUCUCAUCCAUAACAGGCAGAUAAUAUUAGUUUCUAGCUCAAGCGGUUAUUGCCAAGAUCAAAUGAAUGAGUACAGAUUAAGACUUAUUGAACAACAGCCAAUAAAGGCAAGUUAUUUUGAGAUACUCAGACUGGAC
ensembl:lincRNA